GAGAAACCUUAGCAAUGUGCGAAAGCACGACUGGGUCAGUCCGAGUGAUUCCUGAUAAAGGAGUCUUUUGCUUGUCCUAAAAGCACAGGUGAAUAAGGGGUGGGCAAGUCUGGUGUCAGCCGCCGCGGUAAUACCAGCACCUCGAGUGGUCAGGACGUUUAUUGGGCCUAAAGCAUCCGUAGCCGGCUCUGCAAGUCUUCGGUUAAAUCCACCUGCUCAACAGAUGGGCUGCUGGAGAUACUACAGAGCUAGGGAGUGGGAGAGGCAGACGGUACUCAGUGGGUAGGGGUAAAAUCCUCUGAUCCAUUGAGGACCACCAGUGGCGAAGGCGGUCUGCCAGAACACGUUCGACGGUGAGGGAUGAAAGCUGGGGGAGCAAACCGGAUUAGAUACCCGGGUAGUCCCAGCUGUAAACGAUGCAAACUCGGUGAUGCAUUGGCUUAUGGCCAAUGCAGUGCCGCAGGGAAGCCGUUAAGUUUGCCGCCUGGGAAGUACGGACGCAAGUCUGAAACUUAAAGGAAUUGGCGGGGGAGCACCACAAGGGGUGAAGCCUGCGGUUCAAUUGGAGUCAACGCCGGAA
rnacentral:rRNA from 1 species